rnacentral:snoRNA from 1 species
UUGGCAGAUGACGAGAAACAAAGACAAUGGUAUCUGCAGCGCUCCUGAUUCAUGGGGCUUCAAUAGCAUGAUGACUCUGUCUAGGGGAAUCUCUGAUGCUAA